GACGUGUUCAUGAAACAAAUUCCAGUUAAAUAAAAAAAUAUUUGCAUAUAAAGUCCAACAAAGUAGACUAUAUAUGUAUCCUCUGUUCCUGAUGAGUUGAUAUUUAUAAUACGACCUGUCCAUUAAUUUGUCACCAACAAUAUUGGACUACAAAUUCAGUCUUACUUAUUCUGUGUUUUUUUUUGCGCUAUCGUUUGUCGGAUUUUCUUUUUUUAUUACAUGUAGCCAUGGUGUAGUCAGUUUGUUUUUGACUUUUGGGCUCUCGUACUUUUGAUUAUAUUUAAAUUGUAAAUUAAGCAAUUGCAUUUUAGUUUCAAAUACAGAGUCAUUAAAUUAAUUUAGAUAUAAAUCUGAUAGCAAUCACUUAACAACAAAACA
rnacentral:lncRNA from 1 species